rnacentral:rRNA from 1 species
UACGUAGGGACCAAGCGUUGUUCGGAUUUACUGGGCGUAAAGGGCGCGUAGGCGGCAGUUUCAAGUCAUCUGUGAAUCUCCGGGCUUAACUCGGAACGGUCAGAUGAUACUGCUUUGCUAGAGUGCAGGAAGGGGCAAUCGGAAUUCUUGGUGUAGCGGUGGAAUGCGCAGAUAUCAGGAGGAACACCAAUAGCGAAGGCAGCUUGCUGGGACGGUACUGACGCUAAGGGCGCGAAAAGCGUGGGGAGCGAACAGG